UUUAUUAUGGAUUUAUGGAAUUAUCAUUUCUGGUGAUGAACAUAAAGUUCAUUUUGAGACUUGUGCUAUUUCAUACAAUGUGUUUAGUCUUCUUAUUUACAUAUUGUUGUUUCUGCCGUAUGGUGUUUCUUAUUUGCCUUCUUGCUUGUCCUACAAAAUACAUGACUCAUAAGUAUGUGAGUGAUUGUCAAUCUUAUACUACUUUACCU
rnacentral:lncRNA from 1 species